UGAGAAGACUGAACAGUCGCGUACAAGCAAUUGUAUGAGGAAAGUCCGAGCAUCAUAGGGCAGGAUAACGGCUAACGGCCGCCGAGGGUGACCUCCGGGACAGUGCAACAGAAAUAUACCGCCUAGCAAUAGGUAAGGGUGGAAAGGCGAGGUAAGAGCUCACCGGCGCACAGGAGACUGUGUGGCCCUGCAAACCCUAUCCGAUGCAACGUCAACUAGGACGAUACACCGGCCCGGUGUGUCCUGAAAGACGGCUAGAGCUGCUUGGCAACAAGUAGUCGAGAUAGAUGACUGUUUUUAACAGAACUCGGCUUAUAGGUUUUCUCAUAAA
rnacentral:RNase_P_RNA from 1 species